rnacentral:lncRNA from 1 species
UGUCUCUCUCUCGCUCUCUUACUCGGACACAGACUAGAAGGAGCUAGAGAGGGAAAUCAACGAUGGAAGCCGUCUAGAAGCUAGACAGAGAGGGGGCUACGGGUAAGAUCGUGGUCUUGAAGAAGAAGACCAAACUUUGGAAGAUCAUUCCAAGCACAAUCCUUCUGUGAGAUUUCUAUUUUUUCCAACAAUGGCCUCAAUUUACAGUCUAUAUUUGUAAUGAUUUUGGAUUGUUUUGUGAUCUUCCUAGUGUUUGAGUAUAGAAGAGAAGAAGAAAAAGCCAGAGAGAGAAAUCGACAGAAGCAUUCCACAAGCAAAAAAAGCCUUCUCGUAAGGAUUUAGUCGUUGAUUGUGUGAUUAUUGUU